rnacentral:rRNA from 1 species
UACGUAGGGUGCGAGCGUUAAUCGGAAUUACUGGGCGUAAAGCGUGCGCAGGCGGUUAUGUAAGACCGACGUGAAAUGCCCGGGCUUAACCUAGGAACUGCAUUUGUGACUGCAUGGCUAGAGUGUGUCAGAGGGGGGUAGAAUUCCACGUGUAGCAGUGAAAUGCGUAGAUAUGUGGAGGAAUACCGAUGGCGAAGGCAGCCCCCUGGGAUAACACUGACGCUCAUGCACGAAAGCGUGGGGAGCAAACAGG